UGUCUCAGAAAUACAACCAGCUUGUUCACCCUUUUUGCAAACCUCUUUUCAGGCUUGGACAACCUGGCUGCGACAGUGGAACCCUCCUAAAAAACGGGUGCCAAGAGACAUUAACUGGUGUUGUGGGAACAGAAUUGGGAAUCAGUUCAGAGCUCCAGUUACCUUACAUGAACUUUUAGAAUCCAAUCUCACGUUGAUUCACAAGCUAUUGCCUACUCCCAUUGGGAUGAACCUUACUUUGGUAAAGCAACUAUUACUUCAUCAAGAUCUAAUAGAGAUCCUAGGAAAAAUCAAGGAGAAUGGACAGAAAACUCUGUCCUGAAGACUCCACGACGACACCAUGGAACCCUGCUGAUGAAGAUCUUUCGAGGGCAAUCGUCAGUCACGGGGUGGUGUAAGAGCCCGUCUGAAGCCCCUCAUUUUCCCAUUCUGCCUUCCGAUUGCCACGAGAAAGAAUCCCUUCCUCCACUGCAGUUCCGGCUUAGAACAGGACACAGUGCAGGUGCAACCACUGAACCGUCAUGCUAGCUGUUCCGAACAAGGCCUGGCAAGAACUCGGCAAGGACUUGGCAAAGACCUGACGUGGACCCAGCACGGGACAGCGUGAUGCGCGGCCUGCUUCUAAUCUCCGUUCUUAAGCCAAAUGAACUUUCGGGGUGACUCCCGGGGUCCUUCAUUGAAGACCCCUCAUCUGCCUCGUUACCAGUGUGACAAACAAAGAAUGAGAACCCUCCUCCCAAGGACUGAGACUGAGACCCCUGCUAUAGGGAGGAGGGGAAAUUGGUGGUCUGACCACUAAUGACAUGACCUGUUUCCCUUCAGUGAUUCAAAGGGACUUAUUCUUCAUUGUAUUCGUCUUGCUUUGGUGGUUUCUGUGGACUCAGCUGUUCCCGCGUGGCGAUUACAAUGGACUUUCGUUGUUACACUUGCUCCCCCCUCUUUCCUCUGUGGACUAUAACUGGAGCCCCGAGUCGACCAGAACUUCGGAGACUCCCCCGACACGACAGACGGAUCCCCAUCGUCCGGACCACUGAGGAUCUCGCCUGUGUUGGUAGCUAUUCCCAUACCCCUCUUCUCUCUCUCUCUCUCCUUUUAUCUCCUUUCCGAUCCCCACUAUCGCAUUUACUGUUUUGGCCCCUAAUAAAGGUGCAUUUGUUGUGAUUAA